GUGGGAAUAUAAAUCAAAUUACGAAGUGCACAUCUGAAAGGCCAAAGUCGUUAAGGAAACGCAGCGGCAGGAGAGAAGGAAGCAAACAAACAAAAAAAUAUUAAGAAAAAGAAAGAGCCGGGCUCAUCUUGAAAGCUGGGGAUAAAGAUGCGGCCGGAUGGACGAGGCGGCCAACACCUUUGCUGAACGUGCACAGCCAGUGCGUUUACAAUUACAUACACAAUUAUGGCGGCAGCCAAAGCAGGCUAGCGAGCGAGCAGGACAACGCGAACUGCUGCCUCAUUACGGGCAGCCAAGGACGCGCUGCACUUACAGCUGGGCAGCCAGCCCGCGGCGUAGAUAUUUUUAUGCACUUGCCACCCCAAAAUGGCUUUAACAAAUUUCAGCUCGCUUUUAUGCUUGGCCUCGACGCUAUAUUAAUGGCCCAGGCAACUUUCGGUGCAAUUAACUGGCUGCAACAACAGACCCAAACCUCAUUUCAGACCCCCUUCACAGCUGCUCGCAUAACAAUCAGAGACAGAGACAAAAGCGUAAAGCGAACAUUUAUGCUGAAAUAUAAGCACAUUAAUUCGAAAAGCAGCAGCAGCUGGGGGCUAGGGCAGCUGGAAAAUCAGACAACAGGCAAAUUGAGGUGCGAAUCCAUAAACACACAAGUGCGAGAAGCUAUAAAAUUGAAAUGCCCGCGUUGAGAAGUAUGCUACGCCUGCCACGCGCCACAGCACCCAAUGGGGCGUAUGCGCAAUGCUGCAUUGCCCGCUGUAUGAAACGCGGCAGCAGCAACAACAACAACAGCUGCCAUUGGUAAAGUGCCGGGCAGCAAUAAAUAUGCUUCAACUAUUUGGCAGCCGGCGUAUUUAAGAGUUCCGCAGCAACAACAUCAAACAAAUGUGCGCUCGCCGCAUAUGACUGACUGGUAGCUACCCUAGAAGCUGAAUUGAUUUGCUUGAUAAAUAUAUAUUAGAAUGCAAUGGAAGUGACCGCAGCUCCAGACAUUUUGAAAAAUGCAUUCCCAAAAGACCUCGAAACUUAUUUUCCAAUCGUUGCGAAAUUCUCAGCACCAAAGAUAGCAUGAAAAUGUGUAACUUUUGUGCUUUAAAUUUAAUAAUUGACAAAAAUUAUAUAUUUAAAAUAAACCGUAUAAUUUGAAAAU